rnacentral:rRNA from 1 species
GGACUACUGGGGUAUCUAAUCCUGUUUGAUCCCCGCACUUUCGAGCCUCAGCGUCAGUUACAGCUUCGUUAGCUGCCUUCGCAAUCGGUGUUCUAUGACAUAUCUAAGUAUUUCACCACUACAUGUCAUAUUCCGCCAACGGCAACUGUACUCUAGAUCAGCAGUAUCAAUGGCAGUUUCUGGGUUAAGCCCAAAGAUUUCACCACUGACUUACCAAUCCGCCUACGCUCCCUUUAAACCCAAUGAAUCCGGAUAACGCUUGCAUCCUUCGUCUUACCGCGGCUGCUGGCAC